CGAAAGCGUGGGGGAGCAAACAGGAUUAGAUACCUGGUAGUCACGCCCUAGACGAUGCGAACUAGGUGUUGGGGAAGGAGACUUCUUUAGUACCGCAGCUAACGCGUGAAGUUCGCCGCCUGGGGAGUACGGUCGCAAGAUUAAAACUCAAAGGAAUUGACGGGGACCCGCACAAGCGGUGGAUGAUGUGGAUUAAUUCGAUGCAACGCGAAAAACCUUACCUACCCUUGACAUGUCAGGAAGUCCGCUGAGAGGUGGAUGUGCCCGAAAGGGAACCUGAACACAGGUGCUGCAUGGCUGUCGUCAGCUCGUGUCGUGAGAUGUUGGGUUAAGUCCCGCAACGAGCGCAACCCUUGUCAUUAGUUGCUACAUUCAGUUGGGCACUCUAGUGAGACUGCCGGUGACAAACCGGAGGAAGGUGGGGAUGACGUCAAGUCCUCAUGGCCCUUAUGGGUAGGGCCUCACACGUCAUACAAUGGCGCAUACAGAGGGUUGCCAACCCGCGAGGGGGAGCCAAUCCCAGAAAGUGCGUCGUAGUCCGGAUCGGAGUCUGCAACUCGACUCCGUGAAGUCGGAAUCGCUAGUAAUCGCGGAUCAGCAUGUCGCGGUGAAUACGUUCCCGGGUCUUGUACACACCGCCCGUCACACCAUGGGAGCGGGUUUCACCAGAAGUAGCUAGCCUAACCGCAAGGAGGGCGGUUACCACGGUGAGAUUCGUGACUGGGGUGAAGUCGUAACAAGGUAGCCGUA
rnacentral:rRNA from 1 species